rnacentral:rRNA from 1 species
CCUACGGGCGUCAGCAGUGGGGAAUAUUGCACAAUGGGGGAAACCCUGAUGCAGCGACGCCGCGUGAGUGAAGAAGUAUUUCGGUACGUAAAGCUCUAUCAGCAGGGAAGAAAAUGACGGUACCUGACUAAGAAGCCCCGGCUAACUACGUGCCAGCAGCCGCGGUAAUACGUAGGGGGCAAGCGUUAUCCGGAUUUACUGGGUGUAAAGGGAGCGUAGACGGCAGCGCAAGUCUGGAGUGAAAUCCCAUGGCUUAACCAUGGAACUGCUUUGGAAACUGUGCAGCUAGAGUGCAGGAGAGGUAAGCGGAAUUCCUGGUGUAGCGGUGAAAUGCGUAGAUAUUAGGAGGAACACCAGUGGCGAAGGCGGCUUACUGGACUGUAACUGACGUUGAGGCUCGAAAGCGUGGGGAGCAAACAGGAUUAGAUACCCGGGUAGUC